AUACGGAGGAUCCGAGCGUUAUCCGGAUUUAUUGGGUUUAAAGGGUGCGCAGGCGGCCAUUUAAGUCAGCGGUUAAAUCGUGGGGCUCAACCCCAUUCUGCCGUUGAUACUGGGUGGCUUGAUUGCGGUCGAGGUUGGCGGAAUUCGUUGUGUAGCGGUGAAAUGCAUAGAUAUGACGAAGAACACCGAUUGCGUAGGCAGCUGACCAGACCGCAAAUGACGCUCAUGCACGAAAGUGCGGGGAUCGAACAGGAUUAGAUACCCUGGUAGUCCGCACAGUAAACGAUGAAUACUUGUUUUCGGCGAUAUAAUGUCGGAGGCAAAGCGAAAGCGAUAAGUAUUCCGCCUGGGGAGUACGCCGGCAACGGUGAAACUCAAAUGAAUUGACGGGG
rnacentral:rRNA from 1 species